rnacentral:rRNA from 1 species
GAUAAACGCUGGCGGCGUGCCUAACACAUGCAAGUCGAACGAUCCCGCAAGGGAGAGUGGCGGAAGGGUGAGUAACACGUGGGAAUCUACCUCCUCGCAGGGAACAACCUCUCGAAAGAGAGGCUAAUACCCAAAAGGGUCAGAAAUGAUCAGAGUCGAAAGGCGUGAGGAGAGGAGCCCGCGGCCCAUCAGCUGGUUGGUGAGGUAAUGGCUUACCAAGGCUACGACGGGUAGGGGAUCUGAGAGGAUGUCCCCCACACUGGAACUGAAACACGGUCCAGACGCCUACGGGUGGCAGCAGUGAGGAAUAUUGGACAAUGGGCGAAAGCCCGAUCCAGCAACGCCGCGUGGAGGAUGAAGGCCUUCGGGUCGUAAACUUCUUUAGAGGGAGACGAGAAAGGACGGUAUCCCUAGAAUAAGCGACGGCAAACUACGUGCCAGCAGCCGCGGUAAU